CAAAAGAUAGUUUAAUUAAAAUAUUAAUUUUGGGGAUUAAUGAUAGAGAAUUUUCUUUUCUUUUGA
rnacentral:tRNA from 1 species